GUAGUAUUUCCUCCGUCUAACAAAAGAUGUUUCAAGUUUGUCAAAAUUUGAAUGCAUCUAUAUACUAAGUAUUAUCUAGAUACAUCUAAUUUUGACAAACUUGAAACAUCUUUUGUUGGACGGAGAGAGUCCUAG
rfam:Brachypodium distachyon strain Bd21 chromosome 2, whole genome shotgun sequence.